UACGUAGGUGGCAAGCGUUGUCCGGAAUUAUUGGGCGUAAAGCGCGCGCAGGUGGUUUCUUAAGUCUGAUGUGAAAGCCCCCGGCUCAACCGGGGAGGGUCAUUGGAAACUGGGAGACUUGAGUGCAGAAGAGGAAAGUGGAAUUCCAAGUGUAGCGGUGAAAUUCGUAGAUAUUAGGAAGAACACCAGUGGCGAAGGCGGCUCACUGGCCCGGUACUGACGCUGAGGCGCGAAAGCGUGGGGAGCAAACAGG
rnacentral:rRNA from 1 species